AUUGAACGCUGGCGGCAUGCUUUACACAUGUAAGUCGAACGGUAACAGGGUGCUUGCACCGCUGACGAGUGGCGAACGGGUGAGUAAUACAUCGGAAUGUACCCAGUAAUGGGGGAUAACGCUUCGAAAGGAGUGCUAAUACCGCAUACGCCCUGAGGGGGAAAGUGGGGGACCGCAAGGCCUCACGUUAUUGGAGCAGCCGAUGGCUGCUUAGCUAGUUGGUGAGGUAAAGGCUCACCAAGGCGCCGAUCAGUAGCUGGUCUGAGAGGAUGAUCAGCCACACUGGGACUGAGACACGGCCCAGACUCCUACGGGAGGCAGCAGUGGGGAAUAUUGGACAAUGGGCGCAAGCCUGAUCCAGCAAUGCCGCGUGUGUGAAGAGGGCCUUCGGGUUGUAAAGCACUUUAGCCUGGAAAGAAAAAACUUUGGUUAACACCCAAAGUCUUGACGGUACCAGGAGAAUAAGCACCGGCUAACUCUGUGCCAGCCGCCGCCGUAACAC
rnacentral:rRNA from 1 species